UAGCCUCAAAUAUAUAAGUGGUCUGAGUGGUUAGUAUAUGCUUCUUCAGAUACAAUACACAAACAAUCUCUCAAUAGGAGGACUCACUUGUAUGUCGAAGCUUACGAUGAAUGGAACCAGGGUGGUCAUGCUUAUGAUAGUUAUCCUUGCUUGUAACAAGAUUCAUUCGCAGUGUCGACCAAUUGAGCAAAUGAAUAACAUCAAGCUCCAAAUGUGCACAUGCUCACGGAGAAAAUCAGUUUACUGCUGUGACUUAGGAGGUCGUUGCUUUCGAGAUGAAUUACAAUGCAUAAAAGGUUGUGCUCCUGGAUGCAAGCAAUCUCGUACCUUGACAGAGCCAUGAGCAAGCACUACAUAUAAUUUAUCAUGAUAAAUUAUGUCAUGCCCAUCUUGAAAUAAAAUUAUGAGAUGUGAUCCUCUUAUGCCA